UUUCUCCUCACCCUCACUUAACACUUUCCCCUCCCCGAACCCUCUCUUCCUCCAUCCCAUCCCAAAUCCGGCGAGAGUGAGGGAGAGAGCAUGGCAGAGUGGUGGCGCGGCCCACACGACAUCUCAUCGGUGCAGACACACUUAUGAGGGUGGGCGCACUACUAUCAAGCAGUCUCGUGGUGGUGUCCUAAAGACCCGUGGGGGCAUGCACCCGCGAGACCGGUAGCCACACCGCCUCUUUCCAUGGUCGUCAACGUGCUCGACAAUCAAAAUAAUGUCAUUGAGCCUCUUCAUUUGUUUGCUUGGGUGAGUGCGGUUUGAGGAUCUUAGGGCUAGGAUUUGGGGAUUCGAGGGAAUUUGAGAUUUCUGACUUGAGGGUAAAAUUUGGGUUGGAAUUUAUUACAUCCUCCCUUUCCUCUAACCUGUUGUUCUAACUAACUAAAAACAUCAUGUCUUUGAUGUGUUUUUGCUCAGUAUCUUCCAAAUCUGAAGACAUUAAAAAUGUUGAAUAGGUUCCAUCACUAUAUGGCAUUAAAUUCGAUCAAAUUCUCCGUCAUUGUGUCAUUAGAAAUGUUGAAUAGUUAGUUGAACUACAAGGAACUGUUUCGAUUGAUUGAGUGUCCCCCGUGAUGUACACCUGUUUGAUCAAAUAGAGUAAAGCCCUAUUUGUUUCGGAUUAUAAUCUCUCUAGAUUAUAUAGGCUAGCGCAAAUAAUCC
rnacentral:lncRNA from 1 species